rnacentral:rRNA from 1 species
AACCCGCCUGCAUGAAGUUGGAAUUGCUAGUAAUCGCGGAUCAGCAUGCCGCGGUGAAUACGUUCCCGGGGAUUGUACACACCGCCCGUCACACCAUGAGAGUCGGGAACACCCAAAGUCCGUAGUCUAACCGCAAGGAGGACGCGGCCUAAGGUGGGUUCGAUAAUUGGGGUGAAGUCGUAACAAGGUAAC